CAGCAGCCACGGUAAUACGAGGGGGGCAAGCGUUGUUCGGAAUUAUUGGGCGUAAAGGGUGCGUAGGCGGUUUGGCAAGUUUGGUGUGAAAUCUUCGGGCUCAACUCGAAGUCUGCAUCGAAAACUGCCGGGCUUGAGUAUGGGAGAGGUGAGUGGAAUUUCCGGUGUAGCGGUGAAAUGCGUAGAUAUCGGAAGGAACACCUGUGGCGAAAGCGGCUCACUGGACCAUAACUGACGCUGAUGCACGAAAGCUAGGGGAGCAAACAGGAUUAGAUACCCCCGUAGUCCCUGUCUCUUAUAC
rnacentral:rRNA from 1 species